AUGUGGGAGUAGAACCCUUUCGUUUUGAGCCCUUCGCUAGUGAACCCUCAGACGAAGAAUCGACCACAAACGAUGCGGGGCCCGAGGAAGCUAACCGUUUGCAUUCUAUUGAUUGGUGCAAGUGUGGAAAUUGUUCUGUAAUGCCCACUGCCUAGGAAUCUGUGUGCUGCCAUGAGGUGGAAAAUAUUAAGUCCAUUUUUUUAAGAAGACCAAGGCAUUACCUGUAUAACUAGCCACCCUGGAUUUGCACCAGCCUGUUUAAACAAAUAUGUCCUCCAAAUAGCGUAUUACCAAUAUAAACAGCAGUAUGGGGAAAUAUUGAAGAUUCUUCAGAAAAAUACAGAUAUACAGCCUAUAGACAAUUAGCAAGGUGGGCAUGGGGGUAUCUUGGAAAAAAAGAUCCGAGUUGUUUUACCAU